AAUCACGGAGAGCGGGUUCCGUCCCCUCCUCGCCCCGGCCUGUAACUGCUGCGGGGGCCGCUUUCUGGGCCCGCCCCUCCAGGCCAGGAGCCUUUUUCAAAAUGUGGCGGUGGCAGGGAAGGUUGUCUGCUCCAGAGGCUUCCCUAGAGUGAAGAGCUCUACUAUGUAUGCUUUAUGCGGCAGAAGGAGUGCUUUGGAGGAGUUUUUAAAUUUGUUUUUUUUUUAAAUCUUAUCGGUUUUAAUUGUAGCAAUGAUUCAAGAAACGUUAGUAGGUGCCCAUAACUUCGGUGGUGGAGAUCCAAAAGUGAACAAGACAGUGUUCUGGCUGCUAAAUUCUUCUUAACUGGUUAUGCCUGGAGACCUUCACUUGGUUCUGUGCCAGCACUGCCCAUGAACUUCAUAGACUGUGAUCUUUGCUAAGGCCUAAAUGAAUGAAGGUGCAGGACCGGAAGCAGAAGACAGAAAGUGGAGACCAGAUGUUUGAAGCUGGGUAAAGGCAGGGAUGGAGCAGGAACCGAGGAACAAACCUUGGAACUAGAAUGAGGAAAUACUUCCCGG
rnacentral:lncRNA from 1 species